rnacentral:tRNA from 1 species
UGGGGGAUAGUUUAGUGGUAAAACUCUCGGCUCUGACCCGGGCAUCCCUGGUUCGAAUCCAGGUCCCCCAGCCA